UGUCACUCCUUACAAUGGCUUCUGUUUUUUUAUUGUGAGCCCUGCCAGCCUUGUGGUCUUGGCAGGUAUUCCUCCCUCCCUCCCUGUCUCCAUAGACAAUAUCAGAGGUAACCAACAACAACAGAAUUUGUAACUCCUCUCUCUUAUAUAGUUCUGUGGCAGCAUUUUGUCAGAUUGGUUGCUUCCUCUGCUUCUUCUCAGGAAAAUUCUGUUUGAAAGUUGCUCAGUUAUCAGCCUGCAGAGUCCAUGGAGCAAGCAACCAUGCUUUUGAGCAGAGCACAGCAGUGGCAUGCCAGGGAGCAUCAAAGGCAACAGUCUUAAAAGCACACCAUCUCCAGAUUCAUGAAGUCUUCACACAAUACUGCCUCUGUGUGGCUUCCUCUUGCCUAAGGAAUCCUCAGCAGAAAUGGCCCCAACAAGGAUUAACUGGCACCUUCUCCACUUGA
rnacentral:lncRNA from 1 species